GUGCCAGCAGCCGCGGUGAUACGUAGGGUGCGAGCGUUGUCCGGAUUUAUUGGGCGUAAAGGGCUCGUAGGUGGUUGAUCGCGUCGGAAGUGUAAUCUUGGGGCUUAACCCUGAGCGUGCUUUCGAUACGGGUUGACUUGAGGAAGGUAGGGGAGAAUGGAAUUCCUGGUGGAGCGGUGGAAUGCGCAGGUAUCAGGAGGAACACCAGUGGCGAAGGCGGUUCUCUGGGCCUUUCCUGACGCUGAGGAGCGAAAGCGUGGGGAGCGAACAGGCUUAGAUACCCUGGUAGUCCACGCUGUAA
rnacentral:rRNA from 1 species